UGGACAUUAACAAGAUUAAGCUAACACACAGAUCCCCCACCCUCCCCCAACCAUCUCUAUACUUCAGGGUGCUUGUGCCAAAAUGCUUUCUGUUUAAACUUGAAGUCCAAAUGUGGUUCCUACUGCCCCAAAUUAUUUUUAUUUAAAAAAAAAAUAGAACUGUAGUAUAUGAGGGAUAAGGGAAGAACACACUUAAGAAAGAAAAAGAAAUUAGCAUUUGCUUUCUCUAAGUACCAAGAGUGGGGCUCACGCAAACCAAAUUAGAAAGAGAUUAGCCUUGUUUAAAUUUGGCUGUUGAUAACAAAUAAAAAAUUACAACCUGGCAAAUAUUUGCUGAGAAGAUCAAGACUGCUAAGGCUUAGCAUCUGUGAUAAGUUUAGAAUGAAAGCUUGAAAUGGGAAGAUAAAAAUAGAAAGGAUGCAAGGAAAUAAAUAUAUAAACGGUCUGCCUCCAGUUCCAGAAAAUUCAACGAAAUCAAUUGGAGUCAGAUCCCUAAAUCACUGGAGGGAAACAGAUGCGACUUUCAGUAGCUUCUACUCACUGCAGACUCAGCCCUCGUGCCAAAGAAUGGUAAACUAAGGCUUUAGAAACUCGACAGGGAACCAGCGUUCGGUGAAGAUGGAACUGGAAAAAGCAUGACAGUGGUCACCACAGAAAUCGAGGCUUGACAAUGGGAAAAGUCCCUGAUGCAGUAGGUUACUCAGAGAGGACGAAGAACUUUCUUGAGAAAUACUGAAAGCUGUGGGAGGCGUUUUUCUGCCUGUGAAGUGGAAUGCUACUCUUCCUGGAGGCAGGGGGAUGAUCCUGAAAAACCUGUCCUGUCCCCCCCAGAUGGACAUUGCAGGGGCAAAGGUACCUUUAUAGUUCUAAGUUCCGAGCUUGUUCAAGUUGUUUAACAAACAUGUUGUGGAUCCUGACAUCCAAGGACACGUACCCCACUAAGGCUGAAAUUGUGGGAGUUCUUUCUUUAGCCACAUGAAGAAGCAGUAACCCUUUCAUUUCAUUUUAUUUAACGAUUUCUUUGAUCUUCUCCUCCAGCAGGUCCAACCACAAGGCUGGACUUUUCUUCUACCUUUUUUUUUUUCCCCUAAUUUGGGAGAUUGGAAAAUAUUUGAUUACAGUGGCACAUCCUGGCUGUCUGCUGGAGGCCUUGCUGCUAGAAUUUCACAGGCUCGCUUCCUUUCAGCCACUGAGCUGAACUUCAGGUAAAAAGAAACAUUUGGCAUGAAAAUGAUUCUUCCAUAAAGCCUGACAUCUUUUAAAUACUUUGAAGAACUGUGCAUUUCAAAUAUGCUGAGAACUCUGUAGAGAACAGAGUAGCUUUUAUAAA